rfam:Octopus bimaculoides Scaffold221598_contig_33, whole genome shotgun sequence.
GUACACAAUUCGGCAGUACAUAUACUAAAACUCAAACGAUGCACAGAAAUUUAUCAUGGCUUCUGAAUAGGAAUCAUACACAUAUUAGUGAAGCGUUCCAUAUUUUC